rnacentral:rRNA from 1 species
AUGACUAAAUUUCUUUCCAUAGCCAUCGUCAUAGCUUCUCUUCUCAGCCAUGGAAUCGACAUGGCCACAGCUUCAACAGUUUGGGGUGACCAAGAUUUCUUCAAACAGUGCCCAUGGUCCCGGUGCAGCAAAAAUGGACCUGAGAUCCGGUUUCCGCUCCAACUUGAAUCCAGCAAUUCAUCAUGUGGAGCAACAUGCGUGAAGAUAGAAUGCUCUGGCCAAGACACUGUCCUACUUCACCCAUUUCUUGGCCCAUUCAAUGUCACUGCCAUAGAUUAUAGCCGUGCCACACUUAGCAUCGCCCCGCUUGUGCAAGCGUGCCAUAAAGUUCAGAAGUUGAUCUCGCAAAGUGUACCAGCCAACUCCAGCCAUCAGUGUAGUCUCUACGGUGAACCAGGAAAGCUUUUAGGCUGUUCAAGGGAGAUCCCGCCAAUUCACAAUUUUAUGGCUAGCCCAUUCUCCUGCCUUAGCAACGCAACCCACUUCUCAUAUUUGGUGAAUGCUAAACAACCCGUGUAUGUUCUUCCAUUGAACUGCAGAGUCAUCUCAGAUGUUGUCAUUCCGAUAUUAGGUAGCCCAGAGCUUUGGCAGCUGGAAGAAGAGGCCCAGAGAUUUUAUGAGAUGAAAGUCUGCUGGUAUACAGGGUCAUCAUCCGUUGCCUUCAACUGCACACGGUGCGAACAAGAUGGGCGACCCUGCGCAUUCAGCUCACAAAGGAAUCAAACAUUUUGUGUGCCUCAUCCUCACGGUUCACAUGUCAAAAUCAUUGCAGCUACAUCAUCAGGGGUUGCCUUUGUUGUUCUUGUGUUGACGGUGGCUACCGCACUCUAUCUUUCACUGAAGACGAGAUAUAACAGAGAGAUACAUUUGAAGGUUGAAAUGUUUCUCAAUACACAUGGAAAAUCAAAAGCCACAAGGUACACUUUCUCUGAAGUUAAGAAGAUGGCGAGACGGUUCAAGGUUAACUUAGGACGUGGUGGAUAUGGAAGUGUAUACAAAGGCGAGCUACCAAAUGGAGUUCCUGUAGCUGUCAAGAUGCUAGAGAACUCUAUAGGAGAGGGACAGGAAUUCAUCAAUGAAGUUGCAACUAUUGGACUAAUCCACCAUACAAAUAUUGUCCGCCUCCUGGGAUUUUGCUAUGAAGGAACAAGACGGGCUCUUAUUUAUGAAAUCAUGCCAAACGAGUCAUUGGAGAAAUACAUAUUCUCUCGUGACUCUAAUAUUUUUCAGACUCUCCUAGUACCUGAAAAAAUGCUAGAUAUUGCUUUGGGCAUUGCAGAGGAAUGGAAUAUCUACAUCAAGGAUGCAACCAGCGCAUCCUCCACUUUGACAUCAAGCCUCACAACAUCUUGCUGGACUACAACUUCAAUCCGAAGAUUUCAGAUUUUGGCCUAG